AACGCUGGCGGCGGCUUAAUAAUGCAAGUCGAGCGCUCGUAGCAAUACGGGAGCGGCAGACGGGAGAGUAACACGUGGGAACGUACCCUUCGGUUCGGAAUAACCCAGGGAAACUUGGGCUAAUACCGGAUACGUCCGUAAGGAGAAAGAUUUAUCGCCGAGGGAUCGGCCCGCGUCCGAUUAGCUUGUUGGUGAGGUAAUGGCUCACCAAGGCGACGAUCGGUAGCUGGUCUGAGAGGAUGAUCAGCCUCACUGGGACUGAGACACGGCCCAGACUCCUACGGGAGGCAGCAGUAGGGAAUAUUGGACAAUGGGCGCAAGCCUGAUCCAGCCAUGCCGCGUGAGUGAUGACGGCCUUAGGGUUGUAAAGCUCUUUCGGCGGGGAAGAUAAUGACGGUACCCGCAGAAGAAGCCCCGGCUAACUUCGUGCCAGCAGCCGCGGUAAUACGAAGGGGGCUAGCGUUGCUCGGAAUCACUGGGCGUAAAGCGCACGUAGGCGGGUCCUUAAGUCAGGGGUGAAAUCCUGGAGCUCAACUCCAGAACUGCCUUUGAUACUGAGGAUCUCGAGUUCGGGAGAGGUGAGUGGAACUGCGAGUGU
rnacentral:rRNA from 1 species